GUAGUCCACGCCCUAAACUAUGUCAACUGGUUGUCGGGGAAGCAAUUCCUUGGUAACGAAGCUAACGCGUGAAGUUGACCGCCUGGGGAGUACGGCCGCAAGGUUAAAACUCAAAGGAAUUGACGGGGACCCGCACAAGCGGUGGAUUAUGUGGAUUAAUUCGAUGCAACGCGAAAAACCUUACCUACCCUUGACAUGCCAGGAACCCUCCAGAGAUGGAGGGGUGCCCGAAAGGGAACCUGGACACAGGUGCUGCAUGGCUGUCGUCAACUCGUGUCGUGAGAUGUUGGGUUAAGUCCCGCAACGAGCGCAACCCUUGCCAUUAGUUGCCACAUUCAGUUGGGCACUCUAAUGGGACUGCCGGUGACAAACCGGAGGAAGGUGGGGAUGACGUCAAGUCCUCAUGGCCCUUAUGGGUAGGGCUUCACACGUAAUACAAUGGCCGGUACAGAGGGCAGCCAACCCGCGAGGGGGAGCUAAUCCCAGAAAGCCGGUCGUAGUCCGGAUUGCAGUCUGCAACUCGACUGCAUGAAGCCGGAAUCGCUAGUAAUCGCGGAUCAGCAUGUCGCGGUGAAUA
rnacentral:rRNA from 1 species